rnacentral:rRNA from 1 species
UACAGAGGUCUCAAGCGUUUGUUCGGAUUCAUUGGGCGUAAAGGGUGCGUAGGCGGCGCGGUAAGUCGGGUGUGAAAUCUCGGGGCUUAACUCCGAAACUGCAUUCGAUAACUGCCGUUGCUUGAGGACUGGAGAGGAGACUGGAAUUUACGGUGUAGCGGUGAAAUGCGUAGAUAUCGUAAGGAAGACCAGUGGCGAAGGCGGCUCACUGGCCCGGUACUGACGCUGAGGAGCGAAAGCUGGGGAGCAAACAG